rnacentral:rRNA from 1 species
UACAGAGGGGGCAAGCGUUGUUCGGAAUUACUGGGCGUAAAGGGCGCGUAGGCGGCCUGUUAAGUCGAACGUGAAAUCCCCAGGCUCAACCUGGGAACUGCGUCCGAUACUGGCAGGCUUGAAUCCGGGAGAGGGAUGCGGAAUUCCAGGUGUAGCGGUGGAAUGCGUAGAUAUCGGGAGGAACACCAGUGGCGAAGGCGGUUGCCUGGAGCUUUGCUGACGCUGAGGCGCGAAAGCGUGGGGAGCGAUCCGG